GAUGAACGCUAGCGGCAGGCCUAAUACAUGCAAGUCGAACGGUGUAGCAAUACACAGUGGCGCACGGGUGCGUAACACGUAUGCAACCUACCUUACAUUGGGGGAUAGCCUUUCGAAAGGGAGAUUAAUACCGCAUAAGACAGUAACUAGGCAUCUAGUAGCUGUUAAAGAUCUAUCGAUGUAAGCUGGGCAUGCGUCCAAUUAGUUAGUUGGCGAGGUAAUGGCUCACCAAGACGAUGAUUGGUAGGGGAACUGAGAGGUCAAUCCCCCACACUGGCACGGAGAUACGGGCCAGACUCCUACGGGAGGCAGCGGUAGGGAAUAUUGGGCAAUGGGCGCAAGCCUGACCCAGCCAUGCCGCGUGCAGGAAGAAGGCGUUAUGCGUUGUAAACUGCUUUUAUACAGGAAGAAACGACCCUUGCGAGGGGCAUUGACGGUACUGUAUGAAUAAGCACCGGCUAACUCCGUGCCAGCCGCCGCGGUAAAAC
rnacentral:rRNA from 1 species